rnacentral:rRNA from 1 species
AUUGAACGCUGGCGGCAGGCCUAACACAUGCAAGUCGAGCGCGAAAGGCUUUCGGGCUGAGUAGAGCGGCGGACGGGUGAGUAACGCGUAGGAAUCUACCUGGUAGUGGGGGACAACUUGGGGAAACUCAAGCUAAUACCGCAUACGCCCCAAGGGGGAAAGCGGGGGACCUUCGGGCCUCGCGCUAUCAGAUGAGCCUGCGUAGGAUUAGCUAGUUGGUGAGGUAAAGGCUCACCAAGGCGACGAUCCUUAGCUGGUCUGAGAGGAUGAUCAGCCACGCUGGGACUGAGACACGGCCCAGACUCCUACGGGAGGCAGCAGUGGGGAAUAUUGCGCAAUGGGGGCAACCCUGACGCAGCCAUGCCGCGUGUGUGAAGAAGGCCUUCGGGUUGUAAAGCACUUUCAAUGGGGAAGAAAAGCGUAGCGUUAAUAGCGUUGCGCCGUGACGUUACCCAUAGAAGAAGCACCGGCUAACUCCGUGCCAGCCGCCGCGGUAAGAC